CGGGAAAAGCUCAAAUUUAAAAUCUGGCAGUCUCUGGCUGUCCGAGUUGUAAACUAGAGAAGUGUUAUCCGUGCUGGACCAUGUAUAAGUCUCCUGGAACGGAGCGUCAUAGAGGGUGAGAAUCCCGUCUUUGACAUGGACUACCAGUGCAUUGUGAUGCGCUCUCAAA
rnacentral:rRNA from 1 species